rnacentral:pre_miRNA from 1 species
CAUCUACUCCUUCCGUCUCAAAAUUCUUGUUUUAGAUUUAUCUAAAUAUGAAUGUAUCUAGUCACAUUUUAGUAUUUAGAUACAUUUAUUUUUACACAAAGACAAUAAUUUUAAGACGGAGGGAGCAGAUG